rnacentral:rRNA from 1 species
AUUGAACGCUAGCGGGAUGCUUUACACAUGCAAGUCGGACGGCAGCGCGAGGUAAGCUUGCUUACCUUGGCGGCGAGUGGCGAACGGGUGAGUAAUGUAUCGGAACGUGCCCAGUAGCGGGGGAUAACCACUCGAAAGAGUGGCUAAUACCGCAUACGCCCUACGGGGGAAAGCGGGGGACCUUUCGGGGCCUCGCACUAUUGGAGCGGCCGAUAUCGCAUUAGCUAGUUGGUGAGGUAACGGCUCACCAAGGCGACGAUGCGUAGCCCGACCUGAGAGGGUGAUCGGCCACACUGGGACUGAGACACGGCCCAGACUCCUACGGGAGGCGGCAGUAGGGAAUCUUCCGCAAUGGACGAAAGUCUGACGGAGCAACGCCGCGUGAGCGAUGAAAGCCUUCGGGUCGUAAAGCUCUGUUGUUAGGGAAGAACAAGUAUGAGUUAACUGCUCAUACCGUGGACGGUACCUAACGAGAAAGCCACGCUAACUACGUGCCAGCAGCCGCGGUAAUACGUAAGUGGCAAGCGNUGUCCGGAUUUAUUGGGCGUAAAGCGCGCGCA